AGGGGUCGAGCGUGGUCCGGGGUUACUGGGGGUAAAGCGCGUACAGGUGGCUCAUUACGCGCGGCGUGAAAGCCCCCGGCUCAACCGGGGAGGGUCGUAGGGGACGGAUGGGCUUGAGGGUCGCAGGGGCUGGUGGAAUUCCCGGUGUAGUGGUGAAAUGCGUAGAGAUCGGGAGGAACACCCGUGGCGAAGGCGGCCAGCUGGGCGACACCUGACACUGAGACGCGAAGGCGUGGGGAGCGAACGGG
rnacentral:rRNA from 1 species